GACGAACGCUGGCGGCGUGCUUAACACAUGCAAGUCGAACGGAAAGGCACUUUUGGGGGUACUCGAGUGGCGGACGGGUGAGUAACACGUGGGUAAACAGCCCUUGAUUUUGGGUUAACUUCAGGAAACUGGGGCUACUACCGGAAAGGCAUCCUUGCUCCAUGGGGGGGGUUGGAAAGCUUCGGGGGCUUUGGAUGGAUUCGCGGCCUAUUAGCUUGUUAGCGGGGUAGUGGCUUACCAAGGCGUGGACGGGUAGCCGGCCUGAGAGAGUGACCGGCGGCACUGGGACUGAGGGGCGGCCCAGGUGCCGACGGUAGGCAGAAGGGGGGAAGAUUGCACAAGGGGCGGAAGCCGGAUGCAGCAACGCCGCGGGCGGGAAGACGGCCUUCUUGUUGAAGAACGCCUGCAGCAGGGGCGAAGCUUGUGGUGACGGUACCUGCAGAAGAAGCACCGGCUAACUACGUG
rnacentral:rRNA from 1 species